rnacentral:misc_RNA from 1 species
AAAUGCGAUAAGUAGUGUGAAUUGCAGAAUUCAGUGAAUCAUCGAAUCUUUGAACGCACAUUGCGCCCCUCGGUAUUCCGUGGGGCAUGCCUGUUCGAGCGUCAUCCACACCCUCAAGCUCUGCUUGGUGUUGGGCGUCUGUCCCGCCUCCUUCGCGCGCGGACUCGCCCCAAAUCCAUUGGCGGCGGCCCUUGCCUCCCUCUCGCGCAGCACAUUGCGCUUCUCGAGGCGCGGCGGACCGCGUCCAGCAAGCAACCGUCACACCGUCUUUGACCUCGGAUCAGGUAGGGAUACCCGCUGAACUUAAGC